UAAAAUAAUACUGUGGUUCUUUUCAG
rnacentral:piRNA from 1 species